AACGGAGGCGCCCAAAGGUUCCCUCAGAAUGGUUGGAAAUCAUUCGUAGAGUGUAAAGGCACAAGGGAGCUUGACUGCGAGACCUACAAGUCGAGCAGGGACGAAAGUCGGGCUUAGUGAUCCGGUGGUUCCGCAUGGAAGGGCCAUCGCUCAACGGAUAAAAGCUACCCCGGGGAUAACAGGCUUAUCUCCCCCAAGAGUCCACAUCGACGGGGAGGUUUGGCACCUCGAUGUCGGCUCAUCGCAUCCUGGGGCUGUAGUCGGUCCCAAGGGUUGGGCUGUUCGCCCAUUAAAGCGGUACGCGAGCUGGGUUCAGAACGUCGUGAGACAGUUCGGUCCCUAUCCGUCGCGGGCGCAGGAAAUUUGAGAGGAGCUGUCCUUAGUACGAGAGGACCGGGAUGGACGCACCGCUGGUGUACCAGUUGUCUUGCCAAAGGCAUAGCUGGGUAGCUACGUGCGGACGGGAUAAGUGCUGAAAGCAUCUAAGCAUGAAGCCCCCCUCAAGAUGAGAUUUCCCAUGGCGCAAGCUAGUAAGAUCCCUGAAAGAUGAUCAGGUUGAUAGGUCAGAGGUGGAAGCGUGGCGACAUGUGGAGCUGACUGAUACUAAUAGAUCGAGGACUUAACCAAC
rnacentral:rRNA from 1 species